rnacentral:rRNA from 1 species
AGAGUUUGAUCCUGGCUCAGGACGAACGCUGGCGGCGCGCCUAACACAUGCAAGUCGAACGAGCGAGAGAGAGCUUGCUUUCUCGAGCGAGUGGCGAACGGGUGAGUAACGCGUGAGGAACCUGCCUCAAAGAGGGGGACAACAGUUGGAAACGACUGCUAAUACCGCAUAAGCCCACAGGUCGGCAUCGACCAGAGGGAAAAGGAGCAAUCCGCUUUGAGAUGGCCUCGCGUCCGAUUAGCUAGUUGGUGAGGUAACGGCCCACCAAGGCGACGAUCGGUAGCCGGACUGAGAGGUUGAACGGCCACAUUGGGACUGAGACACGGCCCAGACUCCUACGGGAGGCAGCAGUGGGGAAUAUUGCACAAUGGGGGAAACCCUGAUGCAGCGACGCCGCGUGGAGGAAGAAGGUCUUCGGAUUGUAAACUCCUGUUGUUGAGGAAGAUAAUGACGGUACUCAACAAGGAAGUGACGGCUAACUACGUGCCAGCAGCCGCGGUAAAACGUAGGUCACAAGCGUUGUCCGGAAUUACUGGGUGUAAAGGGAGCGCAGGCGGGAAGACAAGUUGGAAGUGAAAUCCAUGGGCUCAACCCAUGAACUGCUUUCAAAACUGUUUUUCUUGAGUAGUGCAGAGGUAGGCGGAAUUCCCGGUGUAGCGGUGGAAUGCGUAGAUAUCGGGAGGAACACCAGUGGCGAAGGCGGCCUACUGGGCACCAACUGACGCUGAGGCUCGAAAGUGUGGGUAGCAAACAGGAUUAGAUACCCUGGUAGUCCACACCGUAAACGAUGAUUACUAGGUGUUGGAGGAUUGACCCCUUCAGUGCCGCAGUUAACACAAUAAGUAAUCCACCUGGGGAGUACGACCGCAAGGUUG